GACGAACGCUGGCGGCGUGCCUAAUACAUGCAAGUCGAGCGGACUUUCAAGAAGCUUGCUUUUUGAAAGUUAGCGGCGGACGGGUGAGUAACACGUGGGCAACCUGCCUGCAAGACGGGGAUAACUCCGGGAAACCGGGGCUAAUACCGGAUAAUAUCUUCCUUCGCAUGAAGGAAGGUUGAAAGGCGGCGCAAGCUGCCGCUUGCAGAUGGGCCCGCGGCGCAUUAGCUAGUUGGUGAGGUAACGGCUCACCAAGGCGACGAUGCGUAGCCGACCUGAGAGGGUGAUCGGCCACACUGGGACUGAGACACGGCCCAGACUCCUACGGGAGGCAGCAGUAGGGAAUCUUCCGCAAUGGACGAAAGUCUGACGGAGCAACGCCGCGUGAGCGAAGAAGGUCUUCGGAUCGUAAAGCUCUGUUGUCAGGGAAGAACAAGUACCGUUCGAACAGGGCGGUACCUUGACAGUACCUGACCAGAAAGCCACGGCUAACUACGUG
rnacentral:rRNA from 1 species